rnacentral:rRNA from 1 species
CGCAAUGGACGAAAGUCUGACGGAGCAACGCCGCGUGAGUGAUGAAGGUUUUCGGAUCGUAAAACUCUGUUGUUAGGGAAGAACAAGUGCGAGAGUAACUGCUCGCACCUUGACGGUACCUAACCAGAAAGCCACGGCUAACUACGUGCCAGCAGCCGCGGUAAUACGUAGGUGGCAAGCGUUGUCCGGAAUUAUUGGGCGUAAAGCGCGCGCAGGCGGUUUCUUAAGUCUGAUGUGAAAGCCCCCGGCUCAACCGGGGAGGGUCAUUGGAAACUGGGAAACUUGAGUGCAGAAGAGGAGAGUGGAAUUCCACGUGUAGCGGUGAAAUGCGUAGAGAUGUGGAGGAACACCAGUGGCGAAGGCGACUCUCUGGUCUGUAACUGACGCUGAGGCGCGAAAGCGUGGGGAGCGAACAGGAUUAGAUACCCUGGUAGUCCACGCCGUAAACGAUGAGUGCUAAGUGUUAGAGGGUUUCCGCCCUUUAGUGCUGCAGCUAACGCAUUAAGCACUCCGCCUGGGGAGUACGGUCGCAAGACUGAAACUCAAAGGAAUUGACGGGGGCCCGCACAAGCGGUGGAGCAUGUGGUUUAAUUCGAAGCAACGCGAAGAACCUUACCAGGUCUUGACAUCCUUUGCCACUUCUAGAGAUAGAAGGUUCCCCUUCGGGGGACAAAGUGACAGGUGGUGCAUGGUUGUCGUCAGCUCGUGUCGUGAGAUGUUGGGUUAAGUCCCGCAACGAGCGCAACCCUUGAUCUUAGUUGCCAGCAUUCAGUUGGGCACUCUAAGGUGACUGCCGGUGACAAACCGGAGGAAGGUGGGGAUGACGUCAAAUCAUCAUGCCCCUUAUGACCUGGGCUACACACGUGCUACAAUGGAUGGUACAAAGGGCUGCGAGACCGCGAGGUUUAGCCAAUCCCAUAAAACCAUUCUCAGUUCGGAUUGCAGGCUGCAACUCGCCUGCAUGAAGCUGGAAUCGCUAGUAAUCGCGGAUCAGCAUGCCGCGGUGAAUACGUUCCCGGGCCUUGUACACACCGCCCGUCACACCACGAGAGUUUGCAACACCCGAAGUCGGUGGGGUAACCGCAAGGAGCCAGCCGCCUAAGGGGGUGU